rnacentral:rRNA from 1 species
CCGGCACGGGUGAGUAACACGUAUCCAACCUGCCGUCUACUCUUGGACAGCCUUCUGAAAGGAAGAUUAAUACAAGAUGGCAUCAUGAGUCCGCAUGUUCACAUGAUUAAAGGUAUUCCGGUAGACGAUGGGGAUGCGUUCCAUUAGAUAGUAGGCGGGGUAACGGCCCACCUAGUCUUCGAUGGAUAGGGGUUCUGAGAGGGAGGUCCCCCACAUUGGAACUGAGACACGGCCAA